rnacentral:rRNA from 1 species
UUGCAAAUUGCGAUAAGUGGUGUGAUAUGCGAGUCCAAAACUUAUACGUGAACCAUCGAAUUGUUGAACGCAUUGCAUCGAGCUUUGCAAAAGCACGAUAUGCCCCAUUGAGUGUCAUUAAGUCUUUGGAUACCCAUCCAAGCUCGGGAUUCAUGGCCCCUUAUGCCACGCUUCCUUGGAACCAUUUUAGCACCUGGCAGAAAGCAUCGUGCUCCUUGUUGUGAACUUCAAGGCACGUCGCGCUUUGGGAGGUGCAAGACCUGGCGCUUCAAACGGGGACCGGUCAAACCUGCAGACACGUCCCUUGUGGCGACCUGCACAUUCAGGCAUGACCUCACGGGGGUAAGACGACCCGCUAGACUUAAGCAUAUUAAUCAGCGGAGGAAAAGAAACUAACAAGGAUUCCCCUAGUAACUGCGAGUGAAGAGGGAAGAGCUCAACGUGUGAAUCUGAUGGGGAUUAAAACCUCGUUCGAGUUGUGCACUAUUGAGUCUGGAUCAGCGUACGGAAGCUUUCGGCGGAUGUCCAAUGAAACAUGGCACCACAGUGGGUCACAGUCCUGUACACGCCUAUAGAGCAUCUACGCCUAUGACCACCGCUCAUCGAGUCGCGUAGUUUUGUAUUGCUGCGCUAAUUGGGAGGUAGAGCCCUUCUAAAGCUAAAUAUUAUGGCAUGACCGAUAGCAAACAAGUACCGUGAGGGAAAGGUGAAAAGCAACCAUGCAGAAUGGGUUGAAACAGUAGUGAAAGUGCUACCGGGAUAAGGGCUAUUGAUUGCAAGUGCGGAUCGCAUGUGCUUUAGUGCUAUGCUUACUGCCGGCGUGCAUCGAUUAAGGACCGGGGAGAACAGGGCUUUGGAGAUUCGGCUCGGCCUCGAGUGUUGCAAUCCAGAUGCCAGCUGAGC